UACGUAGGUGGCAAGCGUUGUCCGGAUUUACUGGGCGUAAAGAGCGCGCAGGCGGUUGUUUAAGUCGAAUGUGAAAGCCCCCGGCUCAACUGGGGAGGGUCAUUCGAUACUGAUCGACUUGAAGGCAGGAGAGGGAAGUGGAAUUCCGGGUGUAGUGGUGAAAUGCGUAGAUAUCCGGAGGAACACCAGUGGCGAAGGCGACUUCCUGGCCUGUUCUUGACGCUGAGGCGCGAAAGCGUGGGUAGCAAACAGG
rnacentral:rRNA from 1 species